rnacentral:rRNA from 1 species
UACGUACGAGGCGAGCGUUAUCCGGAAUUACUGGGCGUAAAGCGCGCGCAGGCGGACCAUUAAGUUGGGCGUGAAAUCUCCCGGCCUAACUGGGAGGGGUCGCCCAAGACUGGUGGUCUUGAGGACAGCAGAGGUGGGUGGAAUUCCUGGUGUAGUGGUGAAAUGCGUAGAUAUCGGGAGGAACACCUGUGGCGAAAGCGGCUCACUGGACCACAACUGACGCUGAGGCGCGAAAGCUAGGGGAGCAAACAGG